UACGUAGGGGGCGAGCGUUGUCCGAAGUUACUGGGCGUAAAGCGCGCGUAGGCGGGUUGGCAAGUCUGCUGUGAAAGCCCGGAGCUUAACUCCGGAGGGUCGGUGGAUACUGCCAAUCUUGAAGGGACUAGGGGGAGAUGGAAUUACCGGUGUAGCGGUGAAAUGCGUAGAGAUCGGUAGGAACACCAGUGGCGAAGGCGGUCUCCUGGGGUUAUCUUGACGCUGAGGCGGCGGAAAGCUGGGGGGAAGCGAACGGGGAUUAAGAAACCCCGAGUACGU
rnacentral:rRNA from 1 species